rnacentral:rRNA from 1 species
AUGACUGAAGAGCGCUCCGUGGUUGAGCAAGCUCAUGAGAUACAGUCAUUUGCUAGAGAACUUGAGCUCUUCCAUUGUAUCCUACCGGACAAGUUUGUUGCCGGGGGUAUCAUCACUAAGCUUCCUCCUUCGUGGAGGAACUUUGCUACCUUACUGAAGCAUAAGAGACAGGAGUUUUCCGUCCCGGAUCUCAUUGGUACUCUUGAUGUGGAAGAAAAGGCGAGAGCAAAGGACACACAUGCUCGAGGUAUUGAGGGAGGAUCUAGUGCCAAUCUGGUACAGAAGAAAAACUUCCAGUCCCACAAGUUCAAGAACAAGGGCAAGUUUGAUGGUAAAGCAAAGUUUGAUGGGAAGAACAAGGCUGUACAACACACGAACUUCAAGAAGAAGAGUGACAAGAAGAAAGGUGCUUGUCAUGUGUGUGGAGAUUCUGAUCAUUGGGCUCCUAGUUGUCCUAAUCGCUAUGACAAGUGUCAUCCUGGGAAAGGCGGCAAGACCGCUAAUGUUGUCAUCGGAGACAUUGACAUGAAGGAUGUUGGACCGCAGGGACUUCAACCGUGCUGA